rnacentral:lncRNA from 1 species
UUUCAAGCUUAGAAUGCAAGCCCACCCCCAGUUAAGGGGGUAAGGGAUAGUGGUGGGUGGCGGUCUCUCUCUCUUUCCACGUGUAUCGGAGGAGCAGACAGCCAUCUCGUGAGAUUGUAAUAAAGUCCUUCACGGGGCCAGCUAGGUGGCGCAGUGGCUAGAGCACCGGCCCUGGAGUCAGGAGGACCUGAAUUCAAAACCGGCCUCAGACACAUAACACUUACUAGCUGUGUACCCUGGGUAAGUCACUUAAACCCCCAUUGCCCAACCAAAAAAAAAAAGCCCUUCACAACCUGGUCCUAACCUACCUUAUUACAGAAUUAUACAUUACUUCUCUUUCUGUACCAAAUGAUUCAACCAUAGCUUUGCGGGGGAUGGGGGAGUACUAGGAAGGGAAAAUUUUAAUAUGUAUUUAUGUAUGUACAUAUGUAUAAAAUACACACAUUCUUUCUGAUUUAACUGGAAUGUCCUUAUUUCAAACUUCUCAUAAAACGAGGUACACAUGUGAUUUUAAAACGAGUGACCCUGGGAUGAUUUAGUGAGUGAGUCUAAGUAAUGAGGGAGAAGCUGAUUUGCGGAUCAAUGUGGAAUAACGGA